rnacentral:rRNA from 1 species
UACAGAGGGUGCAAGCGUUAUCCGGAUUUAUUGGGCGUAAAGCGUUUCGUAGGUUUCUAGGUAAGUUAUUCUUCAAAGACCACGGCUCAACCGGGGGAAGGGGAGUAAUACUAUCUGGAUUGAAAUAUGGUGGGGCUUCUGGAACUGAUGGUGUAGUAGUGAAAUACGUUGAUAUCAUCAGGAACUCCGAGGGCGAAGGCAGGAAGCUAACCAUUUUUUGACACUGAGGAACGACAGCUAGGGGAGCGAAAGGGAUUAGAGACCCCUGUAGUCCUAGCCGUAAACUUUGCUCGCUAGGAGUUAGUAUUUAUACUGGCUCCGUAAGCUAACGCGUUAAGCGAGCCGCCUGGGGAGUACGGUCGCAAGACUAAA